UACAGAGGGUGCAAGCGUUAAUCGGAAUUACUGGGCGUAAAGCGCACGCAGGCGGUUGGUUAAGUCAGAUGUGAAAGCCCCGGGCUCAACCUGGGAAUUGCAUUUGAAACUGGGGAACUAGAGUGUGUGAGAGGGGGGUAGAAUUCCAAGUGUAGCGGUGAAAUGCGUAGAGAUUUGGAGGAAUACCAGUGGCGAAGGCGGCCCCCUGGCCCGAUAUUGACGCUGAGGUGCGAAAGCGUGGGGAGCAAACAGG
rnacentral:rRNA from 1 species